rnacentral:rRNA from 1 species
CUACGGGGCGCUGCAGUGGGGAAUAUUGCACAAUGGGCGCAAGCCUGAUGCAGCCAUGCCGCGUGUAUGAAGAAGGCCUUCGGGUUGUAAAGUACUUUCAGCGGGGAGGAAGGGAGUAAAGUUAAUACCUUUGCUCAUUGACGUUACCCGCAGAAGAAGCACCGGCUAACUCCGUGCCAGCAGCCGCGGUAAUACGGAGGGUGCAAGCGUUAAUCGGAAUUACUGGGCGUAAAGCGCACGCAGGCGGUUUGUUAAGUCAGAUGUGAAAUCCCCGGGCUCAACCUGGGAACUGCAGCUGAUACUGGCAAGCUCGAGUCUCGUAGAGGGGGGUAGAAUUCCAGGUGUAGCGGUGAAAUGCGUAGAGAUCUGGAGGAAUACCGGUGGCGAAGGCGGCCCCCUGGACGAAGACUGACGCUCAGGUGCGAAAGCGUGGGGAGCAAACAGGAUUAGAUACCCGGGUAGUC